UACGAAGGGGGCUAGCGUUGUUCGGAUUUACUGGGCGUAAAGCGCACGUAGGCGGAUAUUUAAGUCAGGGGUGAAAUCCCGGGGCUCAACCCCGGAACUGCCUUUGAUACUGGGUAUCUUUGAGUCCGGAAGAGGUGAGUGGAAUUCCGAGUGUAGAGGUGAAAUUCGUAGAUAUUAGGAAGAACACCAGUGGCGAAGGCGGCUCACUGGUCCGGUACUGACGCUGAGGUGCGAAAGCGUGGGGAGCAAACAGG
rnacentral:rRNA from 1 species